AUGGAACUUGUUGGGGGUAAGAAUCUUAUACCCUGGUGGAAUGAUGUCAACUUUGACCUCCUUCUCUUCAAAGGCUUGCACCUCCCCUUUUCCAAAGAGUUCUCUGUUGAGUAUCAGGCCCUUUGUUCACAAUCUACCUCAAUUGCUCCCCUCUUAUUAGGGGAGGUUAUUGACCAUUCAUCUUCACGGGGUCAUCGGGGACUCUUUCCAGCUUGUCUCCCAUGCUGGAGGAAGCUCUUUAGGCGACUCUCUUGGAUCCCCUCUCGAGAGGCCCAAUUGUUGGGUGAGGGCGCCUUCGUUUGGGGUCUUUACCAAAUAUAA